AUUGAACGCUGGCGGCAUGCCUUACACAUGCAAGUCGAACGGCAGCACGGGGCAACCUGGUGGCGAGUGGCGAACGGGUGAGUAAUGCAUCGGAACGUGCCAUUGAGUGGGGGAUAACGUAGCGAAAGUUGCGCUAAUACCGCAUAUUCUGUGAGCAGGAAAGCAGGGGACCGCAAGGCCUUGCGCUCUUUGAGCGGCCGAUGUCAGAUUAGCUAGUUGGUGAGGUAACGGCUUACCAAGGCGACGAUCUGUAGCGGGUCUGAGAGGAUGAUCCGCCACACUGGAACUGAGACACGGUCCAGACUCCUACGGGAGGCAGCAGUGGGGAAUUUUGGACAAUGGGCGCAAGCCUGAUCCAGCCAUGCCGCGUGAGUGAAGAAGGCCUCGGU
rnacentral:rRNA from 1 species